UGGGUGUUGACACUUACCAUGAAUUUCCUUCAAUCCACUGGUGUAGAGAUUAAUUAUGAUUGUGAAACUAUAAUUGCUUGUUGCCUGAAAACUUUUUGCACACAUAAUUUCUCUAUUAAGUUUAAAAUAGUGUAACGCCCAAUUAUUUCUGCCCAUCUUAUUUUAAAGGCUGCCCAAUCUUAGAGCAACUGCCAUCAUCCUCUGGUAGGGUUUGGAAUCGUCAUAGCCUAGCAAGCUCAGCCUCAUUCUUCCAUUCCGCUUCGCGAAGCUGUUCCUUAAGCUACUGUCCUUGACUCUUCGAGUACAAAAGCCUUAGUUAACAUUUUUCAGAUGCGAAGAACACCCGUGGACAACAGGAAGGUGAUGAUUUUGCUGCAUAGUCCGCGUGGACUGGGCUUAAAUUUCUUUAUGAGCUUUUCUUUCGGGCUAUGACCCAUGUAUUUGUUUGUCCUUGGAUUCAUAUACAUUUUGUAAACUUUUAUCCAAUUUUCUUUUGGACAUCGUGGUGUGUCUUGAAAU